AAAUUUACUUCGGUAAAUGGACAGCGGCGAAAGGGACAGUAAUGUGUAGGUACCUACCCUCUGAUCUGGGAUAGCUGCGGGAAACUGCAGGUAAUACCGGAUAAUGUCUUCGGACCAAAGGUGUGAUUCCGUCUGAGGAGGGGCCUGCAUCCUAUUAGCUUGUUGGUGAGGUAAUGGCUCACCAAGGCAACGAUGGGUAGCGGGUGUGAGAGCAUGACCCGCGUCAUUGGGACUGAGACACUGCCCAGACAUCUACGGAUGGCUGCAGUCGAGAAUCUUCGGCAAUGGGCGAAAGCCUGACCGAGCGACGCCGCGUGCGGGAUGAAGGCCCUCGGGUUGUAAACCGCUGUCGUUGGGGAGGAAAUGCAUGAGGGCUAUCCCUCUUGUU
rnacentral:rRNA from 1 species